CAGAUUGAACGCUGGCGGCAUGCCUAACACAUGCAAGUCGAACGGGAGUAGCAAUACUCUAGUGGCGGACGGGUGAGGAAUACGUAGGAAUUUGCCCUUAAGUGGGGGAUAACCCGGGGAAACCCGGAUUAAUACCGCAUGACCUCGAAAGAGCAAAGUGGGGGAUCGCAAGACCUCACGCUUUUGGAGAAGCCUACGUCGGAUUAGCUAGUUGGUGAGGUAAUGGCUCACCAAGGCGACGAUCCCGUAACUGGUCUGAGAGGAUGAUCAGUCACACCGGAACUGAGACACGGUCCGGACUCCUACGGGAGGCAGCAGUGGGGAAUAUUGGACAAUGGGCGCAAG
rnacentral:rRNA from 1 species